GGAGAAAUUGACUACACGUCGCUUUGAUGGGUAGAUGCUUCAGAGGGUAAAAACCUGUCUGCAUGGCCGAGUCUAAAGGCUGGUGGUGAAAGGACUUCAAUCCAGGUGGUGGCUGGUCAAUGGCAGCAUCCCCUUGUGGGAGUGCAAUGUGAGAGGAAUCAUAAUAAGUGAAUGCUGGCCUUGGUUCCCACAGCUGCAGGCUAUCUUGUCUGAGGAGAAGGACAGCUUUUCAGUGCAGUUGAUGUGGUUCCUAAUGUCUUCACAUGGCUCACAAUGACAUCAAAGUUUUAUGAUUUCUUUUACAAGACCAAACACUAAGCAUAAAAAGCACCAAAUUGUACAG